rnacentral:rRNA from 1 species
AGAUUGAACGCUGGCGGCAGGCCUAACACAUGCAAGUCGAGCGGUAGAGAGGUGCUUGCACCUCUUGAGAGCGGCGGACGGGUGAGUAAUGCCUAGGAAUCUGCCUAGUGGUGGGGGAUAACGUUCGGAACGGACGCUAAUACCGCAUACGUCCUACGGGAGAAAGCGGGGGACCUUCGGCCUCGCGCCAUUAGAUGAGCCUAGGUCGGAUUAGCUAGUUGGUGAGGUAAUGGCUCACCAAGGCGACGAUCCGUAACUGGUCUGAGAGGAUGAUCAGUCACACUGGAACUGAGUACGACGGUCCAGACUCCUACGGGAGCAGCAAGUGGGGAAUAGUUGGACAAGUGGGACGAAAGCCUGAUCCAGCCAUGCCGCGUGUGUGAAGAGUCGUGAUUGACAAG